GACUGUUAGUAGAACUUUUAGUAGACUAGAAAAACUGUUAGUAGAACUGUUAAUAGAACUUUUCAGUCACUUAUAUGUAUAUUUUUCUUUGAUGGUAGUGUGCGUCUUGCAAUGAUCCAUGCAAGAUACGACGUCAAUACGUAUCUGUUUCACGAUAAAAACAUAAAAGAUAAUAAAUAUAAUUAACACAUGAUAAUUAGUAUAUAAAUCUGUAAAUUUAGAAAAAUUAUUUUUGAAUUUAACUAUAUCUUAUCUAUUUGCUUAUACAAGUAUUAUUGGCAGUGUAAAGUGUUAGUACUUCAGUGUUUAAUUAGGAUUAGAUUGAAGGGAUUUUGAAAAUACAUUGAUAUAUGCAACCAUUCGCUCGUUAAUACUUAUAUUGUACGAUUUAUAAUUAGAUUUCAAUUUAUCGCAAGUAUUUCCGACCCAGGUCUCACUAAAUGGAAGUUACAUCUGAAGAUUCACGGACUAACGUUGACUCUACUCUAAAAUCCGUGUUCGAAGUAAAAAGGUACAUUAAAUCAUAUCAAAGGUACAUCCAAAGGUACGAUGAAAGCUUUCUUAGUGGAACUCGGUUCUUUAAGAAAAUUUAAAAUCGCUAUUCAAAUCGCAAUAAAGCGAAAAGAUGAAUUUCCAUGAAGAAAAGAUCUACGUAUACGUUCGAUCGAUAUUCCAUUCUCUCAUAUAAGGACGAAUAAAUUAAAUUAACAUUACGUAUUAUUAUUUGCAAACGAAACGUAUUAUUUAUAUUAUUAAUACUAGUCGCGAAUAAAAUCAACCAAAAUAACGAAUACAAAGCGCCGUAUACUUUCUUCGUGGAUAUCAUUUAUAUAGAAAAAGAUUCAUUGUCGAAUUAUCUGCUUUUUAAAUAUUUAUCAGGUAUGAGACACUGUCUUUCUGUGCGUAUUCUUUAUUGUAUGUAUAUAUAUAUAUAUAUAUAUAUAUAUAUAUAUAUAUAUAUAUAUAUAUAUACUUCAUAAAGAUUCCGGUGCUUAAUUGAUUAUUUGCCAAUAAAUCGAACUUUCCAAUUUCUAAAAAUCGUCCUCUAUGAGCCAAACAACACAGAAACGCAUGAAGUUUUUCUUCCGCUAAGAAAUUUAAGACAAUGUCUACACCUGCACCAUCGAUUUCUUGCAAAAUUAUAUUCUCGAAACUAGUAUCUCCAGAAUUUCCAAUAUAAUUAUUAUCGAUACUAGGAAAUGUUUCUUUAAUGAAUUUACGUUUUUCUGGUGUACUGAUCGUAGUAAAUAUGGUUUUUAUACUAAAUUUAUUUAAAUAAAUGGAGCACACAUUUCAAUCUAAUCUUUGAUUUUGAUUAACGAGUCGAUAUUAAUCGAUAAAAACGAAGUCAAGUUUGGCUGUAAUACGAUAGAUAUAUAAUAAUUGAGAAUAUUAAAUUUAAAUCUUACAAAGAGUAGGUACCAUAUUUUCCAUAAAUUUUCGUAUUGUAAUUGACAUUACGCCUGGACAUACUCUAUUCAUAUUUUUAUUAUCGAUCGAUGCCAUUCAAUUUUUUUUUGCGUCUUAUUAACACAAUUAUUCGUUUCGAUGAAUACAAUGUAUAUCUUUAACAAUGAAAUAGUAUUGUUCAAUAACAAAAAAAGUCAAAUUUCGGCAUAAUAUGGUAGGUAUUAUAUAUAGUCAUAAUGUACAUAUAUCUUGUCCAAUAUUAGUACAAUUUUUUUCGGAAGCUUUGGUAUCAUAAAUAUCAUUCUGUCAAGAAAUGUUUCAAUUAAAUUAAAAGUAGAAACAUUUAGAAAUAUUAUAUAAAUGUUUUUUCAUUUCCAAUUUACGUUACAAAAUUUUUAUUUAGUAUUUCAUUAAUACGAUUAUUUGUCCCGAUGAGAACGAUAAAAAUUUACGACAAUGAAAUAACAUUAUGCAGUGAUUUGUCAAAAAUAUCGAGUAAAUAAUUAUAUAAUAUAUUAUUUUAAUAUAAAUUAAAUUAUGUAUUUAUUUCCAUCCUAUUUAUAUGAUAUAGUAUAGUAGCACCUUUUUAUGUUGUUUCCCCCUGUAUGAUUAGUCCAUUUUAUUCGACUUUAAGAAUUACAACUACUACUGCUACUAUUACUACUACUACUACUACUACUACUACUACUACUACUAAUAAUAAUAAUAAUAAUAAUAAUAAUAAUAAUAAUAAUAGUAUAAUAACAAAAAUGUAUUUGAAUAUUAUAUAUAUUAUGUACGUUUUAUAUUAUAAUAGUAAAGAUAAUGGUGGCAUGUUACUGUUCAAAAGCCUAGGUUUGAUUAUCAUAAGCAUGUUGUGUCUCUAAAAUAUACGCUAAUUCUCGAAUCGGAGGAUUUUACGCUUUCUUGGAAUCAACAAUUUCGGGCAGAAAACAAUCUAACAGUAGUAGGAUUACUUCUACAGAAAGAAUCAUAAAAAAAUAGCGUAUGAUAGUAUUACUUAUACGCACAUACAUGAUAUAUGUAUAAACAGAAGAACGAAAUUUUGAUUCAAUACAAUAUAUACAUAAGUGUUACUGCUAUAUUGCUAGUAAUCAAGAUCGGGAAAAUGCCACAAAUAUUACGGCAUAUACAGUAUGAUUUGUUUAUUGUUUAUAUGUUACAAUUCUCUGAAUAGAAGAAAAUGGGAAUUCUUACAUUUGUGAGAAAAUUGGUUAAAAUAUCUAUUGGAAAGUUAAAGCACUAAGAUAUUUGAAGAUUUAAUAUAUCCGUAAAAAUUUAAGAGAAUUUUUAUAAUUCCAUUAUUGAAAUCUAUUAUGGCCUUUUUUAUAAAUAUGUCCAAAUUAUGUCAUCUGUGUAAUUGCAGCUAAAUCCUGGAAAAAUUUAUUACAUUGAUAUCUGACAGAAGGCUUCGAAAAGUUGUGUGAAUAGCAAAGACGUGAAGCUCAAACAGGAGGGUGAUCGACUAUUCUUUUAUUCAGAAGCUUAAAACGCAACUAAUCUUUCUCGUUAGGGUUAUAAUAAUAAGUAUCGUUGAUCAGUAGGUAUGCUAACAACAUAUCAUUAGCUAUCAUAGUAAGAAAACACGAAAGUACUGGACUGAUGCAGCUGAUGCGUGCGUAUAGUUAAUCAAAACAAUAUUCUUCAUUUAGCAGUACUAUUUGAAAUGUUUAAUUUCCGCCAAAACUUAAUUCUCACACCGAGUUCUUCAUUUUGGAUAGAUAAAUUCAACCAAUUAAAAUAAUAUUAAGAUUACCAAGCUUACUCUUUUCAAUAAAAUUAGUAUAAUCGAUACAUAUUUUCUUUCGAUGAUUGUUAUCAGUGAUACAAUCUUUGUAGUUUAAAAAAUUAUCUUUCAAUUUUUCCACAUUAUUAGAUUCAAAAGAUCUAUCAUCGAAUCCAUAAAAUAACAACUUCUUCGCCUGUUUCUGAAUUAAUAUAUCUGAAGAAUUUGUACGAUUCCUUUGCCUCUUUAUAUUUAUUCAUAAUUUUUCCUUUGUCUCUUAUUUCUUCGAGCGAAACAAAUUAUAAAAAUUGGAACUGAAUCUUACCGUUCUCCUUUAUAUUCUCCUUUAUAACAAUCUCUUUUUAUAACAAUGCUAUAUAUCCCUCAUAAAUAUUUAUCAUAAUACAUACCCUAUCACGUUUCAACCGA